GACAGAGGGUGCAAACGUUGUUCGGAAUUACUGGGCGUAAAGCGCGUGUAGGCUGCUCAGAAAGUCGGAUGUGAAAGCCCUGGGCUUAACCUAGGAAGUGCAUUCGAAACUUCUGAGCUGGAGUCCUGGAGAGGAAGGCGGAAUUCUCGGUGUAGAGGUGAAAUUCGUAGAUAUCGAGAGGAACACCGGUGGCGAAGGCGGCCUUCUGGACAGUGACUGACGCUGAGACGCGAAAGCGUGGGGAGCGAACAGG
rnacentral:rRNA from 1 species